CCCAGCCUUCCUAUUCCUCUCGAUCCUAUAGGAUCCCACGCCGGCCGCCGCCCUCGACCUAACUGCAUCCGGGAGCGCCGCCCCUCACCAGUCACCACUCCCCUGGAAGGCCGCCCCUCAGGCCCUCACCACUCCCCUUGUGAUCCUCCAUCCCGGCGCGUCGUCGCUAGUCAACGCUCCCCGUCGACCUGCUUCCCGUCACGCCGUUCCUCUCGCCACCGCUCCCCUUCGACGACCUACUGCAUCUACUACCUCCGCACGAGGGCCUGCGGCUAUGGGAAGAGUUACCACUACAACCACCCUCGAGAUCACGGUACCGUGUCGCUGAUAAUGACCGACAGGUUGAAUUAUGGAUGGUUGGUGCGGAGGGGAGCUUCAAGAUGAAGCAUCUUGCUGUGAUUAAACUGAUUUUAGUUAUGGCUUAGGAGCCUGUCACGAGCCCAUGUAUGUGGCAUGCAAGCAAAGGAGAGGAUGACCAUGACAAUUACCAAUUCUACCUUACAUUUUAUCUGACAAGAUUCAAAAUAUAAAUGGAUGAUUAUAUGGCUAUGUGGCAAGUAUACUGCAAAGAUGAUGAUGAUGAUGUCUUGUUCAUGAUGAUGACGAUGGAUGCUUUCAGUUUUGAUUAAGUUUCAGGGAUGAUGUUCCUCGGUUAACUUUUAGAUUAGUUGUACGGAUAUUGAUGGAUGCUUUUAGUUUAAGUUUCGCUGUCAA